GGAGGGAGUACGGUGAGGUAGUGUGGGGAGGGAACCCGUCGGUGGCAGCGUCAUGGCGCGCCUGCUGCGAGCCUUGCGGGGCCUGCCCUUGCUGGAGGUGCCUGGGCGGCCAGCUCGGGCUUGUACGGGGUCGGGACCCGGGGACUCAGGGUCGCUUACAAAGUCCAAGCUCUCGCUCAGCAAGACUGAUUGGCAGAGGAAACUGACCCCCGAGCAGUUCUAUGUCACCAGAGAGAAGGGAACUGAAGCGCCUUUCAGUGGGAUGUACUUGAACAACAAGGAGACAGGGAUGUACCAUUGUGUGUGCUGUGAUAGCCCACUCUUCAGGAGGAGAGGAAACAGGACCAAAGAGGAGACUGCAUAUGAAAUGGCCACGAAGAAAUGGAGCGAUGCAGAGGAUUGCCAGUCACUUCCAGAUUCGAGGAGGAGGAACAGAGAGGGCUUCCUGGGGCCUUCUGGGGACAUGGCCCUGCUGAGGUCUUGAUUUUGGACUUUCAGCCUUCAGACCCAUAAGCGCAUCCCACCCAUUUUGUUGUAGUUUGUUAACACCACCCAGUAAGCUACUGCGAUGUGCUCCAAUCAAGCUCCUUGGCUCAUCCACCCAUAGCAGUUUCUCUGCUGCUGAGCAGCCCUGGCCUUGCUGAUGUCGCCUGAAGACUUCGGUUAUGAAGUCCCCUGUGGAUAAGUAACAGAAGUCAUGUUUUUGAACUCUUAUCUUUUUAGGAAAUAUCUUUAUUUUUAUAUAUUUUAAAUUAUUAGUGUAUGUAUUUAUGUACACACCUUAGUACACAGAGGCCAGAAGAGUAUGUCUGACCCCCUGGAGUUCCUGCUGGUUAUGAGCCUCUCCGAGAAAGAAGUAUGUGUUUUUAACUGCCAGCCAUCUCUCCAGCUUCUUGGACACUAGUCCUAAGCAUGGGGUUCAGUACAAAGCAAGCUGUCACCUGCGAUGAGGAGCCGCAUGCGUCCAUGUAAUGGACGUUGUAACUGAUGCUUCAAGUCUUUAAAGAACUUGCCGAAGGCCCUUCUGCCAGAGUCCUUUCUGUUGCUGACACAGAACACCUGGUAUUGGUUACUUUAUUGAGCAGUUCAUUGGGGGCCUCGGGAGACUGAGAAGUCUGAGAGGAUGAUGCCAUAUCCCCUUGGGUUCAAAACAGAAGGCCGAGGGUUGAGCAAGCACACAAAGAUAAAACACAAGAGUGGCCUUGUUUUUACCAACUUGCUGCCUUGUGAACUGACCUGAGCCUGUGAGAACUUCAGUAUUCCCUCUUAAGACCUAAUCACCUGUCAGCACUGCCACGGGGCAAGGAACUUUCAGCUUAGACUGAAGUCAUGUCCAGACCCCAGGAAUCAUACAUCUGUGAAGUGCUGGCACUCAGCUCGCGUUCCACAGGAACUGGAAGUGUGUCCGCACCAAGGUCACCACCACCUGCCUGACAGUUUGCUGUGAACACCCUCACUUCAGCAGAGCCCUCAGCAGCUCUCGGUGGUGGUCUCUUCUCAUGUGAGGAACUGAGGCCUGGCAAGGUUUAAAUAGCUUACCCAGGAUUCCACUGCCUCCAGCCUGCCGCUAGGCCUGGCUUUAUUACCCAGGUCUCUGUAAGCCGUUCAGACAAUGCUUUGACUCGGUGUCUUCGCCUUCUGGUGCCAGCCUUCCAAAUCACAGCCACAGGUCCCUAGGGAGACACUACCAGCCUCUCAAGUUCCGAGAAGAAGUACUGCUCUGGCACUGGCUGGCCUUCAUUUUCUGAGGCUCACGGCACAACAGGUUCAGAUGAAAGUCAU